rnacentral:rRNA from 1 species
UACGUAGGGUCCGAGCGUUAUCCGGAUUUAUUGGGCGUAAAGAGCUCGUAGGCGGUUCCGUAAGUCAGAUGUGAAAACUCAGGGCUCAACCCGGAGACGCCAUCUGAUACUGCGGUGACUGGAGUCUGGUAGGGGAACACGGAAUUCCUGGUGUAGCGGUGAAAUGCGCAGAUAUCAGGAGGAACACCGAUGGCGAAGGCAGUGUUCUGGGACGGUACUGACGCUGAGACGCGAAAGCGUGGGGAGCGAACAGG